UCAGAAGUUUAGAUUAAGCCACAAGACCUUCUCUAGAAACAAGAUGAAAAUAAAAAAAGAAAUAAUUAAACAAAUAAACAAAAAGACAACACUCCCAUCUGCAGAUUUGGAAAGUUCCAAGAGCCAUUCCUUCAUCUACUCUUCUCACAAUAGAUUCAACAAUGGCGUGUUCGUCCAAUUCUUCUGAGCUAAAUAAUCACUUGCCCAUAAGAUUUCCAUUACAACUUGCAAGACUUUCAUUGCCCUGAUGCUCCACCGAUUUUCUUUACCACUCACACGUCUAAGCUCUCCUGUACAUCAGCUAAGUAUCUCUACCAGUUCUCUUUUUUCAUUACAUUAGUAUUAACUUUUCAAAGUCUCAAUAGGUUGAACCCCAACAGGAUUGAUACCACCAUUAAAGCCUUUAAUCAGUUAAUACUAUCACUCUUAAUAAAGAAAACUUUUUAUGCUUCCCCUUCUACGCUUAUGUCGAUUCGACUGGAGUGGACUAAUUUCAACAAGAAGUUAAUGCCUUGAUUAGGUACCAUUGGAAGCCCCAGGCUCUCACCAGGGCUGCUCAACUUUUGACUUUUUGUGUAUGAGGAUAUCAUGACGUACCGCAUUCGGAGAUUGAGGGCUCUUGGAAUUCACACAAUAAGAUUCUGAAUCAUUCACAAGAAUAUUUAUAGUCUUCAGAAGUUCCAUUUGCUCUCUUGAAUUACUGCCUUUUUCUGUGCGAACUUAUGCUUAUCGGACUGUUGUGGAUACUUAUAGGUUUCACCUUGUCAUGACACUCUUGCACACUAACUUCAGUAGCAAUAUGAUCACCAAAUUUAAUUA